CAGCCGCCGCGGGAAUACGGAGGGUGCAAGCGUUAAUCGGAAUUACUAGGCGUAAAGCGCACGCAGGCGGUCUGACAAGUCAGAUGUGAAAUCCCCGGGCUUAACCUGGGAACUGCAUUUGAAACUGUCAGGCUGGAGUCUUGUAGAGGGGGGUGGAAUUCCAGGUGUAGCGGUGAAAUGCGUAGAGAUCUGGAGGAAUACCGGUGGCGAAGGCGGCCCCCUGGACAAAGACUGACGCUCAGGUGCGAAAGCGUGGGGAGCAAACAGGAUUAGAUACCCGUGUAGUCCCUGUCUCUUAUAC
rnacentral:rRNA from 1 species